UCCGGGGCGGCGGGAGGGCCGGGAUGCGGUGCAGUGUUGUGCGUCUCCUACCAAUAUUGCACU
rnacentral:pre_miRNA from 1 species